GUGCUCGCUAUGGCAGCACAUAUACUAAAACUGGAAUGAUACAGAGAAGAUUAGCAUGGCCCCUGUGCAAGGAUGACACACAAAUUAGUGAAGCGUUCCAUGUUUUU
rnacentral:snRNA from 1 species